rnacentral:ncRNA from 1 species
UUGGUCGUAGAAAGGAGAGAUGGUUAGCAUAUCCCUCGACAAGGACGGUAACAGUCUUCUGACUUUCCUUUCACAAACCCACAUGGAACACAGUGCUUGUAGUGGCUCGCUGGAUCGAUUCCCAGGCCUUUC